AUGAGCGCACGCAACCGUGAAGUCAGAUUCCUCCGCCGACCGCGGCCCUCUCUCCUCGGGCUUUGCCUUCGCUCUCCAGCUUUUCUUCUUUCACUCCCGCUCGCCGACUCCAGCCCGCUGGGCUCACGCUCUGCCGGACACCAAUCCCGGCUGCCCUGCCCGACGGAGCUCAAGGCUAGGCCUGGCCUUGUCCGCGGAGUCCGCCCCUCGCCGCCACCGGGAUCCGCCCCCGCGCCGACACGCACUUCCGGCAGCGCCGCGGCCGGGAGGGACCGAGCGGGGAGCGAGGCCUGCGGUGAGGCGCAGGAUGGACGCGUUGGCUGUCAUGAUGUAGGACCUCCUGACCUAGAACCAUGCCCGGCGCAGGGAGAACAACGAGCUUAUGGACCGGGUGCGGGGGCUGCUGUGCGAGAAAGCCUACCUGCUGGCCCGGGAGCGUUCGCUGGCCCACCUGGUGGCUUUCCCUAGACGUUUAACGGCGACUCCGCCCGGCCUCCCGACUUUUUGAUGCAGGCGUUCUCUUACAUGACUUUCUUCGAGGCUAGAUUCUCGAAAGACAUCCUGAAGGUGGCUUUCUUAAUUAGCUGCCUCACCGAGUGGCGGAGCAGUUCGUAGUCCCCUACAUCGAGAGGGAGAGCCCCGUCCUGGCUCAGUACUAGGGCUUCGUGGACGCGCUGUAGCGGGCCUUGGCCGUUGUGGGUAGGAAACAGUCGGGCCGGAUCCCCGGUGUCUGGGGAGCGGCUGCGGCCCGGGCCCGCGCGAGCCACUUCGCUCCUACAAGCCCGGCUCACUAGUUCCAAGCUGCUGGACUUUGACCCUCGCUGGGAAGCUUGAUCGCCGCCUGUUCUCGCCAAUCUCUGCCUUUGCACUGCCCAGCAACCCGGUCACUGCCCAGGACCUGUUAAAAGUGGAAUGGACCUCCCAGAAUCACGCCGCUGCCACCGCCGUUUCUAGAGACGGCUUUUGGCCACCUUUGAGAAUCAGGGUCAAACUUGGAAGGGCCUGCAUUUGUCACACCUCCUCGGACACUAAUUUGGAUAGUUCAGGCCCAGAGACAGCUUCCCGGGUUAGUGUGCCUGACAACACUGAAGAAAAAUUGUGACAUUUUCCUUCCCCAAAAUUACUUCGUUUUAUACAUUUCACUUCUCUUCUGAAAUUACAGCAAUGUCAGUUUGCGCCUUUUGGUCUGAGGAACGCAGGCCCUGGCCACUACCAGGAAAAAGUAUUUACUUUUAAAACUUGAAUGUAUAUCUUUACCGUAUGCCUAGUACAGUAGUGCUUGGAAGAAACAGAUUAGUAAGACAAAAUGUAUGUCUUCAAGAACACUUAUGUUCUGAGAAAGAAUUCUGAAUGCAGAUUCUAAUGUCUGGUAAAAUGCUUUACAGUGUAAAGAAUGCAUAUAUGAUUCUUAUUUUAUGGCAUUUUAAACUUUCCACCCCAUGGUUUUAAAGUGUUAAUAUAUGUUAAAAAUAUAUGCAAUUUAUAAAGGAGAGGGAAAGCCCAGCUUGAUUUUUGCUGCCAAAGAUGGUGUAUUUAAAAUUAAACGUAACUAAUGGCAAAAAAAUAAUGGGAAUGGUGCAGUCUUUGAGCUGUAUCCAGUUGGCAUUAUUCUCUCGGACUAAAAGGAAUGGUAUUAACUUCCUCACUUUGGGUAAGCCACUUUAGAUUUUUGGGCUGCAGUUUUCUCAGGUAAUUAGAGACUUUAUAUUAUUAAAGUUUGGUUCACAAUUCUUUGAGUCUCUUUUGGGAACAAAGAAGGUAAGAGGAGGAUAUGUGCCCUCCUCUCAAUCAAAGGGUUUCUUGAAACCCUCUAAGGAGAAAAAUCUGAAACUGCCUUUCCUAAAACGUUCUGGGUUUGUCAUUCUGAUGAUCAAUAUCGUCCCACUGAAGUAUCUUUUUGAAUUCCUAGUUAGGAAUCUUUAUGUAAAGAUAAACUGAUCACUCUCUCCUUCGUGGACAGUUUAUCUACCUAAAGAUGAUAGGGGGAAACACUGUUUUUGAAAGACGAAAUAAAGACAUGUUGUAGCAGUUA
rnacentral:lncRNA from 1 species